rnacentral:rRNA from 1 species
GACGAACGCUGGCGGCGUGCUUAACACAUGCAAGUCGAACGGAAAGGCCCUGCUUUUGUGGGGUGCUCGAGUGGCGAACGGGUGAGUAACACGUGAGUAACCUGCCCUUGACUUUGGGAUAACUUCAGGAAACUGGGGCUAAUACCGGAUAGGAGCUCCUGCUGCAUGGUGGGGGUUGGAAAGUUUCGGCGGUUGGGGAUGGACUCGCGGCUUAUCAGCUUGUUGGUGGGGUAGUGGCUUACCAAGGCUUUGACGGGUAGCCGGCCUGAGAGGGUGACCGGCCACAUUGGGACUGAGAUACGGCCCAGACUCCUACGGGAGGCAGCAGUGGGGAAUAUUGCACAAUGGGCGGAAGCCUGAUGCAGCAACGCCGCGUGCGGGAGGACGGCCUUCGGGUUGGAAACCGCUUUCGCCUGUGACGAAGCGUGAGUGACGGUAAUGGGUAAAGAAGCACCGGCUAACUACGU